rnacentral:rRNA from 1 species
UACGUAGGGCGCAAGCGUUGUCCGGAAUUAUUGGGCGUAAAGAGCGUGUAGGCGGCCAGAUAGGUCUGCUGUGAAAACUCGAGGCUCAACCUCGAGCUGUCGGCGGAAACCAUCUGGCUAGAGUCCGGAAGAGGAGAGUGGAAUUCCCGGUGUAGCGGUGAAAUGCGCAGAUAUCGGGAAGAACACCUGUGGCGAAGGCGGCUCUCUGGGACGGUACUGACGCUGAGACGCGAAAGCGUGGGGAGCAAACAGG